GUAUGUUCUAUGUCACCUCAAAUACAUUACUCAACAAAUUCGGAGUUGAAAUCACUGCCAGGACUCAAAUCCAACUAUAAUCAGUGGCUACAUCUGGAAAGGCUGCAUGGAGAUGUCCUUUAAGAUGAAGAUACCUGGAUUCUACCUCCAACUUUUUUCGGAAUCUGUAGUUUCAGAGUGUCUACAUUUCCACAGCUCUCCCAGAGAACUCCAUUUGGAACAUGACUCGGUGGCAAAAGAGUUAGGAAGGAGAGGCUCUGUCUUUCACUGGCAGGCAGCUGGAUGACAAGCACCUGCAAAGAAAUCCCUUGAACAACUGGAAAAACCAUUCAAGAUUCAUACCCAAGGGAUGGAGCACGGGGAAUAAAAAGCAAGCACCAGUGAAUGAAUUCAGCAGCCACAAACAAAUUACCAGCGACAUGUACCUUCCUGAGCGGCAGAGAAUUAUGGAGGCAAUAUUGCACGAUGGGAUAUGUAAGAACAGCCUUGGAGGUUCAUGUGUGGAUGGAAACCAAUUAAGAAAAGCACUUAGGAAAAUUGCUUUCCACUGUCUGGAUGAGAAUUUAUCAUGAGAUAUGGUUUUUAAGUGAAAAACCUUACAUGUAAACCUAGACUAAGUGUUUUGUCCAUGGUGACACACCAGGGGAAACAAAAGAGAUAAAAAUAGAAUGCUUGAAACCAGCCUCCUGAUGUAAUCACCAGACAGUUUACAAGUUUAUCUGAGGAGGAAGAGGUCCUAAUGCAACGUAGAACCUUAAGAGAGAGAUGUCAGCACAAGAAUUGCAGCAGCCAACUGACUGGGAACAAUAGAAAUGGAACUGAUUGCUUCGUAAAGAGUGAUACAAUUUUACCAAUGACACAGCAAAAGAAAACAAUUGCA
rnacentral:lncRNA from 1 species